UAUAGUUUAAUGUUUUAUCUGUCGUCUUAAUAUUGUGCAUAUUCAUGCUUAGGCUGUUGACAUGUGAAAGUUGAAUGUUUGAUACCCAUAUGCUGAAGUUAGAUGUUUGUCAUUGUGCUGCAUGUGGACGGUACCGUUUUGUCUGUAAAACUAUGGAGGCCAAUUACAUGCCAUCGUUCCUCUUAGGAGUAAUGUUCUCCCUUGUGUUGUUUUCUGUCAUUGCAGAUGCGAUGUCCCAACAAGAAUCUGUCAGUAGGCUACCACAUGUAAGUACACACACUCCCAGUAUAAGAAAGCAAAUUAACGUCAAUCAAUACAUUGUGCAGCUUUAGUCUGUUAAUGUGACUAUUGCCAGUCAAGUAGGCCUACCCAGAUUGUGCUAAUGCUAUGACAUGUACCACUCUGUUGCGGAUAAGCACAUUUCUCCUUGGGAACUCAAGAGCCUAGGAGUACACCUCAGCAGGCACACCAGAGAAGGACCACUCCUGGAUAAGGAUUUGAGCCACUGCCACGACUGCCAUCUCUACACUAUAUUACACACGCCAGCAGAUGUGGGAGGUGGUGAUCAACGUGACCCGUCAGCAGGUGGAGGACUUCCAC